rnacentral:lncRNA from 1 species
CCGGACUGAUCUCUAACUCAGAGAUCUGCCUGCCUCUGCCUCCCAAGAGCUGGGAUUAAAGGUGUGCACCACACUGCCCAGCUUGGUGUGUGUCAUUUGAAACACUGUUUAAAAACCCUGCAGCAAUGAAUGGAUAAUGCUAGACAUGAGCUUGUGGCACCCAGGUGACACCUUUUUUAAUAAAGUGGACACACUGUACUUUUAAUGGAUUCUCAGUUACAAAGCUGACUUUCUUAAUGAAGGGAAUAAUUGCCAAGUACUUUAGUCUACCUGAGGAACACUUUCAAACCUCAUCUCCCAUCUCCUCUCUCUCCACUGCCUCCGCAGAAAAACAUGAAAAAAGGUGGGUGUUUUGAGCUAAGUGCAUUUGCGAGGGGAGAAGAUGUUUGUAUAAAGAUAUUCU